AGACAAUGAGACAAUAAGUCUAUUGGGCUGCAAUCUUCUGGUGACAGAGACACAUAAAGUUGUGUAUCAUCUGCAUAACUGUGAUCAUUAUUGCUAAAGUUCUGUAAU